rnacentral:misc_RNA from 1 species
GGAGAAGGGCUUGGGAGGGGUGUAAAUGUAAAUUCUGAAAGAUUCAAGCAUUUUCUGAUAAUUUUGGAAGAAUAUGGUGGGCGAGAGGUAUAGUGAAGCGGAACCAGUGAUGGAUUUAGAAUGAACAUACAGUGAUGAAGUGAAGGAAGUGAAGCAGAGAAAGAAAGAGAAGUAAUUGAUAGCCAUUUUCUCACUGAAUCAAAAACCCUAAACGGUAUAAUCUUUGAACUCUCCUCUGAACCGGGAGGGAAAGUUUCAGAUUUUGAUUUGACGUUGAAGACGACGCCCACAAGGUCAAACUCAAAGCAGACCUCAAGGCCUAACCGUUCUCGGACAAGAAAAACAGUUAAAGACAUCCACGGGCCAUCUCCCACGCGCCGGUUUAAGUGGGACCCAACAGCCCCACCUGUGAUCCCAAAUAGAAGAAAGAUGUACAGGUGAAGAGACUUCUUUUGUGACACGUGUGCGGCUCACGUGGAAGCACAAGUGGUUUUUGCCUGGCUGUUGCAAAAAGCAGAGAGGGGGGCGAAUUCAGGGAGCUUCAGCCAUGGAAAGAGAUCAAGAGACUCUUGUCUUAAUCUACGGUUCAUAUGUUUGAAGGUGACAUAAUCUACACUCGCUGCUUUAGUUUCUGGUCUGAAGGGUCAUAGCUUUUAACAGUUUCGGGGUUCAUGCAUUGCCAUGGAAGAGGUUCAAUCCAGUGGGUGCAGUUGGUCAUCUUCUCAGAUCAUAAUUGAUAAGAAAGAAUUAAGCUGGGGGAGCCAAAGUUGUGAACUUGAUGUUGAAGUGGAUGUUCUGCAAAAUGGCAUGGAUUCUGUUAAAGAUUUAUGGAGUAAGAAAAGGUAGCUUGUUUUAUUAUGUGUUUCACUGAUCUGUCGAACUAUGUGAAUUUGGCAAAGCUGCAAUAAGUUCAGUCAUCUUUCUUAUAGUGUUAUAUAAAGCUUAUCUUCAGAAAGAUUCAUUUCAGGCCUUAGAUAAAGUCUAUCCACUUGGUCUAUAAAUUUCGAAUGCAGCAAAUCACCCAUGAGUAAAUUCAGCUAUUUAGCAUGUUGAUGCAAAAUGCUGAAAAUUUAGACAUUCCAGUAAUGGUGCUAAAAUGGGGGAAACAAAGGGGGGAAAUAAGAAAAAAAAAUGGAGCUCUAGAGAAUUCUUGGAAGAGAUGGAGAAAUUUUCUGGACAUUUAUAACACUUUAUAUGUUAAGCGUUAUGUUAAUGGAUCUGGUGAAAGAAUUAUAGAGAUCUUUUUAUGAAUUAAUGAUGUGCAUAAUUUUGGCUAUAACUCUGUCAGGUAUGAAUUAUCCUCAGCAGCAAAUAUGAAUUCAGUUUCUCAAAAAAUGAUGAUUUUCUUAGAUUUCUUCCUUGAAUAUCAAGAAAAUAAUUUGAAUCUGCAGAUUGAAUUUUACCUUUUUGUUGCAAUUUGUGUAGAAUAGACUUCACGCCAUGGAAGAGGAUUAGUUUACAUUUGAAGUCAUACAUUAUUGAUAAGAGAAACACCCGCAAUAGCCCCUGUUUCAUUGUAUGCCCUGGUUGCAUAGUGGUAAUUUAGCUUCAUAUCAUUUAAGGAAACUCGCAUAAAUAUUGGUAGAGAUGCGUGUCCAACUCUGUACUAAGUUGCUUGCAACCUAUAGGAUAGUAAAUCCCACACAUCUUUAUCACAUCAAUGGUGAUUACAAGUACUGAAGAUGGGUUCUUCUGCCACCUUUUUCACACUAGAAGGAUGAAAUCCAACUGGCAUGGAGGCGGAGCUAUUAUAAUGAAUUUAUUUUUAUCUUCUUUGAAGUCUAAUCUAAAUUGAUGUGCAAUUCCUGUCUUUACUGCAAGUCCAGUGCACCAUUCUAAAUUCUUUUGCAAGAAUUCAUUAAUUUCUCUGGUUCACACAACCCAUGGAUAUCAAAACUUGAGAUGAUUAGCAGAAAAUUUCUAAUAUCAUGCAUAUGCAUAAUAAAUGUACUAUUAUUUGACAGAGCUCGCUUAGAAUCUUCUUCUGGACUAGGGACCAAGGCUUGCCGUGAGAAGAUGCGACGAGAUAUGCUGAAUGAGAGGUUCACAGAAUUGUAUUCUAUUUUGGAGCCUGGGAUAUCUCAAAACUCCAACAAAGUUGCUAUCCUGAGACAUGCAACUCAUCAUCUAAACCACCUACGACUUGAAGCAAAGGAACUCAAAGACAAAAACAAGUUACUCCAGGAGACAAUUAACAGCCUUAAGGAGGAAAAGAUGGAGUUGCAGGAAGAGAAGCUGAUACUAAGAGCACACAAAAAAAGAAUGGAACAGGUGGUAAAGAGCUUGAGCAUUUCCUUUGCUCUGCAAUUUGCUUUCCAUGUGACAUCUAACAGCAAUCCUCUCAUGUUCUUCUUGAAUCAUAUGCCACAGAUAUGCCAGUGGAUGUCUCCUGCUUCUGUUGACACUUCUUAAGACCAUAUCCUCAGGUCUCCAGUAGCAGAAGUGUCUCUCUCAGUUUUCCUCUCUGACCUGGAUCUUUAUCGUAUAUGAGCAAUUCGGAAGUUACAUAGCCAAUAAACGAGUACAAAAGUUGCUUAAUUUGAACCAAUCCGAAACUGUGACCUACUUUGAAAUGUAAAUCAGCUAGAUAAGUUCCUGAGACUUGAAUACGGAACAUUCCCUUUCAUUCAUAUGCUUCAUUUUCAUGACAAAUCCAUCAAGAAUGUGGGAAGGAAGGUGGCAUGUUAGAAUAUUUUAAUUUGGCCUGAUUGAUUUUAGGCCAACCAGCGCUACACCUAGGGGCUUCUGCAAAGAGUGGUUGGAGUCUUUCUAAUGAAUACUACAAAAUUCUAACUGAACCAUCACAAGUAAAUAAAGCAUGAUAAAAUUCAAUAAGAUUAAACUGGUUCCUGCUUUUGCUGGGAUCAUUGGGCAGCAGCUUCAUUUUACGCUUUCCAAACUGGGAAAGCGAGCAACCCAAUCAAAAAUUUUCAGCGGUUACAUUGACUCAAAACAAAAAGAAAUAAAAUAAAUUUGAAUCGAGAUUAAAAUUAGAAUCCAAAGACCUAUGCGGUUCGAUUUAGAGCCCGGUUCCAUGGACCGGUUCUGGACGGUGUAACUGGUUUUCACGCUACUCACGCCCGCUCUAGAGGUCAGCGGUUCGAACGCCACAAUUUUUUUUUGUCUGUAUUACUAGAAAAAUCAGCUGCAAAACAGGGCACGGUUUCUUAACAGAACAGAAAAUCCAGAAGGUUCUUCUUGGUCGGCCAGCGAUUGCAGCGUUUAGACGUAUUCUGACGCAGACAAUUUGCCCGUUAAAGCUUGAAAAUUUGAGAAUUUUGUUUUUUGAUUUCUCGGUUUUUUGGUUUCCUAUCUACGGAUCUGAUAAGCUAUAGUAUUGUUUAGAUUGAGAAAAAGGAGAUGGAUUGGGGAACUGUAACAGCAGAAGAUCUAAUCGGUGCUUUGAGGGAAGUAGAUUGGUCUAUGCCUCCUCGUUCUGUCAAUGAAUUCUUCUCCAAAUUUACCAUCCCUCGAUCCUAUCCCAAGUGGAACAGCCGCCUCAAAUGCAAUCUCUACUAGUAAAUACUCUCUCUUUUCUCCCCAUUUUGCUUUUUUAAGGAAAAAAAAUAGAAAUUACCCUGAAUUUUGUGCUAUUUUUCUUUUUCCCUUCUAUAUGUUUUGCUAUAUAAUGUAUAAGGAAUUUCUUUUUGAAUUGAAGUUCCCUUUUUAUUAUAUUUGCUGGAUUUGAGAUUUUUUUUUGGCAGCUACAGGACCAACUACUUCAUUUUGAUAGUGUUUGUUCUUGGGGUUGCAUGUCUCACAAGGCCGAUGGCUAUUCUUGCUGCUGUUUUGACAGCUUUAAGCAUUGCGUUUCUUAAUGAUAGUUUUGCGGCUACUUUCAGUGAAAAGGUAACAAGAACAGUAAGAAAGUUCUCUCCACAUUUGGCAGCAAAGAUGAGGCCUCCUCACAUGCCUGUUAUUCGUGGCCGUCCUUCAUCCAAAAAAUCAGUAUACAUCUGUGGCAAACCUCGUGGGGUGUUUGUGUUCUUAUUCUCAGCUGCCAGUUUUAUUCUGUGGUUCACUUCUGGCACUCUGAUGUUUGUUUUAUGGGCAUUUGGCAUCAGCCUCCUUGUUACUGUUCUUCAUGCAAGUGUCAGAACGCCUAAUCUGAAGGCACGCCUCAACACAUUCCGGGAAGAAUUUCGUGCUGUGUGGCGUAAUUAUAGCGAGCUUUGACUGGUUAUAAAGUUAAAAGGUACCACUGUAUUUGGAUGUGUGCAGUCGUGAUUCGCACCUUGAAUUUCAGUUAUGCUGCAAGUAUUCUUUGUAAAUAUAAACAAAUUGUUAACACUUUUGAACGGAGAUGAUUAAAAAAAUUCUAUAUUUCUGCUUGGCAUUUUUUUUUGGGUUCUGUGUGUGCGCCCUUCUUGGUUCUGAAGUUUGCACCCUGCCUUCCGCAUAUCAAGAUCUUUUUCUUAAAUUGCUUUGAUGUUUUGCCGAUAUUUACCUGGAGUUUAAAAGUGAAAGAACGAACAGCCAUUUAUUAUUCAUUUUAUUUCUUAUUGUUAUUAUUUUGUUUGUUACAUAUAUUUAUUUGGAUGAAUAGCUUGUUUGAAUCUUGGCAUUAAUAUCAAAUUUAAGACAAAUAGUUUGUACUUUUCUUCCUCGCUGGUCAUAUAAUGGUGAAGUUUGAGGUAUUUUAUAAUUCAUAAGCGUUGCUUGUAAUGCUCAUGAGAGGUGCUGGCAAAGAAGGCCAAGGCAAAAGUGGAAGGGUAGUAGGUUAAGGAUAGUACUGGUUAAGUAAUGGUGCUGAUGGUUGCAUAAUGGUGGUGUUAGGGGUAGUGCUGCGAACUAAGCCGUGAUGGUUGUUGUUGGUGAUAUCAGAUAAGCAAUGGUUUUACCGCAGCUGCACAAAUGUUGAUGCCAGUUUUGUGGUGGCGAUGGUUGUAGAGAGAAACUCUGCUGCAGCGGUGGCAAAGGCGACAUGAAGUCGGUAUUUUCAACGGCCUAUCAUUGUGACAGGUAUGUUGAUGGAAGAGGCAUGUUUUCUCCUCCUGAGGUCCAGUUUUGGAUAGACCAUGAUGUACGUGGUGUUGCUUGCCCCAGAAAGUGCUUGAUGUAGUUUGUCUGGACAAGCAAGUUCUUGAAAGGCUAUAUGGUUUAGGCUGGCCUUGCGGGGUUGAGGGAUCUUGCACAAAAGCUGAGAUCUUACAGUGAACUUUUUGGAAGGCUUUUGUUUCUUAGUUUUUGUAGACACGUGAGGAUUAGGUCAUUUGGAUAGCACUCACUUUAAACAAUCGCACUUAUAAAGAGAGGGUGUCCAAGAAUUUAUUAAGCUCUUAUCAAGCUUGUCCCUCAACAAUGUAGGUUCGUUGUCCCUUAGCAAUGUAAGAUUUAACACCCAAGUAAUUGUUUUACUAAAAUGUAGAAAUGAUACUUUAAAAAAAAAUAUGAACAAAAUUGAAUCAAAUUGAAC